AACGAACGCUGGCGGCAGGCUUAACACAUGCAAGUCGAGCGCCCCGCAAGGGGAGCGGCAGACGGGUGAGUAACGCGUGGGAAUCUACCCAUCUCUACGGAAUAACGCAUGGAAACGUGUGCUAAUACCGUAUACGUCCUUCGGGAGAAAGAUUUAUCGGAGAUGGAUGAGCCCGCGUUGGAUUAGCUAGUUGGUGGGGUAAAGGCCUACCAAGGCGACGAUCCAUAGCUGGUCUGAGAGGAUGAUCAGCCACACUGGGACUGAGACGCGGCCCAGACUCCUACGGGAGGCAGCAGUGGGGAGUAUUGGACAAUGGGCGCAAGCCUGAUCCAGCCAUGCCGCGUGAGUGAUGAAGGCCCUAGGGUUGUAAAGCUCUUUCACCGGUGAAGAUAAUGACGGUAACCGGAGAAGAAGCCCCGGCUAACUUCGUGCCAGCCGCCGCCGUAAGAC
rnacentral:rRNA from 1 species